rnacentral:rRNA from 1 species
UACGGAGGGUGCGAGCGUUAAUCGGAAUGACUGGGCGUAAAGGGCGCGUAGGCGGGAUGAUAAGUCAGAUGUGAAAGGCACGGGCUUAACCUGUGGAAGUCAUAUGAUACUGUUAUUCUGGAGUGUAGUAGAGGGUAGUGGAAUUCACGGUGUAGCGGUGAAAUGCGUAGAUAUCGUGAGGAAUACCGGUGGCGAAGGCGACUAUCUGGACAUACACUGACGCUGAGGCGCGAGAGCGUGGGUAGCAAACAGG